AGAGUUNUCCCCUUCGGGGGACANAGUGACAGGUGGUGCAUGGUUGUCGUCAGCUCGUGUCGUGAGAUGUUGGGUUAAGUCCCGCAACGAGCGCAACCCUUAAGCUUAGUUGCCAUCAUUAAGUUGGGCACUCUAAGUUGACUGCCGGUGACAAACCGGAGGAAGGUGGGGAUGACGUCAAAUCAUCAUGCCCCUUAUGAUUUGGGCUACACA
rnacentral:rRNA from 1 species